GUAGCUCAGGGGUAGAGCACAACCUUGCCAAGGUUGGGGUCGAGGGUUCGAAUCCCUUCGCCCGCUCCA
rnacentral:tRNA from 1 species